AUGCACCCUCUUCGUGGAUGUGACGGCUUUCUCCUCUGUCCCAGGGCUGCACCUCCACCCCCGCAGCAGGCAAACACCUUGACCGAGGCCCUGCUCUCGGCCCGGGAUGCCCGGCACUGCUGGAGAGGCAGCGUGCUCCCAGUGAGCUCUGGGCAUGCACGGCUCUACUGCGUCCGUCUGUCCCUGCUAAGCUGUCAGGCCGGGUCCCCGGCCAGCUCCUGCUCAGGGCUCGCAUGGUGGCGCUGGCCCAGCAGGCCACCAGAUGGACCCCGCUCUCCGACCCUGAGAGGACCUCACUGUAGUCCUGCUGACCCCUGUGCAGACAGGAUGCGGGAUGGGGGUAGGCAAGUAACUACCAGUCCGCUUCAGAAAACAAAGUCUAUGGGGAGCAGAGAAAGCGAAGGGACCUCACUCAGGAAGACCCCAUGCUCCUUGACCUCAGGGCCAGGCCUGAGGCGUGAUAACAAACAUGGAACAAAACGAAGGCUGAGGAGGCAGCCAGUCGGGGCCUGGCCUCCAGGUGAAGACAAGCCCCUCACACAGGCCUCGGCCCCACUGCCUGCCACUUGGGACAGGCGUUCGGCCCGCCUGGAGGACACCAUCCCCGGCUAUGCUCAUGUACGCACAUCUAAGAUAACCUUUGUCAAGCUCCACAUGACUUCCAGGUCACGCUGCAGCCUCUCGGCGCGUCCCCUGCACAUGGUUUCCCUCGUGGUUAGCCCCAUGUCCUCAUGGCCUGCUUGGCCUCCCCCUCUCGCCAGCCGCCGCGCACACCGCCUCUGCCUCUGCCUGCAGUGCAGGGAGCUGCCCUCUCCACUCCCCCAGGAUACCCCAGGGCUCUGCAGCCACGUCAAGUCGGUCAGGUCGGGGGCGGGGGCAGGUGUGGUGCUGGGACCUCUCACCGACAGCCCCCCCCCCACCCCCGCCGUGUGGUGUGCCCAUCCUUACUCCCACCGCCCUGCAGGGGUUAUGGCCUGGGCCUGGCCCUCUAGCACCCCACCCCCACCUUUCCCCAGCUCCUCAGGAUGCGGAGAUUCUGAUGCACCCUGUUUGAGCAACCUCGUCUCCAGGCCGGCCGCUCUGCACGGCCACCAAAGAACGAAUUCUCCAUUACCUGCCCUGAGCCCACUUCUUUAUCAAUGCUACGACAGCAUGGCCAAGCAGGGGCACCUUCCCUGCACCACGGGGCUGUGGUGGUCCUGUCCCAGCAGAGCACAGUGCUGUUCGCUGCAGAUCUGA
rnacentral:lncRNA from 1 species